rnacentral:lncRNA from 1 species
CGACAGUUUUUGCUAUUGAGAAGGUAUCCAACGGAGUACCCAAUUCUUCUGUGUUUCUUCCACUUGUAGGUAACGAGCUCAAGAGAUACUCUGGAUUGUUGAUAAAAUUUCCUGCGAGGGCUCUUGGCAAUUUUCUUAACGGUAUAUAUUGCUGAAAUAUUUGAUGUCGAUCAGCUUCUGGGUAUACUCGGAUAUGCAGACACGCAUACAACCAUGGCUUAAUCCAACUUUUUUGAUGCUUCUUUUUUAACUUGAAUUCUUACUUAUUUUGCAAUGAUUUUUUUGCUUGAGCUCUCUCUUGUCUUUCUUUCGAUUGGUGUAUUUUCUUUACUGCAAUGUUCUCAUUCUUAAUAACCAUAAUCUUUUAUUAUAUACU